UACGUAGGGUGCGAGCGUUGUCCGGAAUUAUUGGGCGUAAAGAGCUCGUAGGCGGUCUGUUGCGUCGGCUGUGAAAACCCGGGGCUCAACUCCGGGCCUGCAGCCGAUACGGGCAGACUGGAGUUCGGCAGGGGAGACUGGAAUUCCUGGUGUAGCGGUGAAAUGCGCAGAUAUCAGGAGGAACACCGGUGGCGAAGGCGGGUCUCUGGGCCGAUACUGACGCUGAGGAGCGAAAGCGUGGGGAGCGAACAGG
rnacentral:rRNA from 1 species